AGCAGCCGCCACGGUAAUACGAAGGGUGCAAGCGUUAAUCGGAAUUACUGGGCGUAAAGCGUGCGUAGGCGGUUUGUUAAGUCUGUUGUGAAAUCCCCGGGCUCAACCUGGGAAUGGCAAUGGAUACUGGCAAGCUAGAGUGUGUCAGAGGAUGGUGGAAUUCCCGGUGUAGCGGUGAAAUGCGUAGAGAUCGGGAGGAACAUCAGUGGCGAAGGCGGCCAUCUGGGACAACACUGACGCUGAGGCACGAAAGCGUGGGGAGCAAACAGGAUUAGAUACCCCAGUAGUCCCUGUCUCUUAUAC
rnacentral:rRNA from 1 species